rnacentral:rRNA from 1 species
UACGGAGGGAGCUAGCGUUGUUCGGAAUUACUGGGCGUAAAGCGCACGUAGGCGGCUAUUCAAGUCGGGGGUGAAAGCCCGGGGCUCAACCCCGGAAUUGCCCUCGAAACUAGAUAGCUAGAAUCUUGGAGAGGCGAGUGGAAUUCCGAGUGUAGAGGUGAAAUUCGUAGAUAUCUGGAGGAACACCGGUGGCGAAGGCGGCAUCCUGGACCAACACUGACACUGAGGAGCGAAAGCCAGGGGAGCAAACGGG